AGAUACGGAGGUAGAGCACUGAAUGUCCUAGGGGGUAUUGCACCUACCGAAGACUAUCAAACUCCGAAUGCCGUCAUCUUAUACUUGGGAGUCAGACUGUGGGUGAUAAGAUUCAUAGUCGAAAGGGCAACAGCCCAGAUCGUCAGCUAAGGUCCCUACAUGUAAGUUAAGUGGUAAAGGAUGUGGGAUUGCACAGACAACCAGGAUGUUGGCUUAGAAGCAGCCACUCAUUCAAAGAGUGCGUAAUAGCUCACUGGUCGAGUGAUCCUGCGCCGAAGAUUUCCGGGGCUAAAAC
rnacentral:rRNA from 1 species